rnacentral:lncRNA from 1 species
CCUGGGCACCUGGUGGGAUUGCAUUCACAGUUCCUCAAAGUGACCAAGUGAUUUGCAUUGAGCAUUGAAAGAUAUCCCCCUGGGGCACCGGCCUAGAACAGAGCAACAAAUAUUUACUAAUUCCAUUAACAGAAGAGAGUUGGAAUUUUUUUUUCCCAAGCGAAUAUCCGAGGCCCCAAGUUCAUGGUGAGCCCUCUCCCCCGCAUGGCCCCCUCUCCCCCCACCUCCUCCCUACACGCCCAGGACUUAUAUAUAGUUCACUCAGUGCCAUUUCCCCAAUUUUUUUCUGAAGUUCAAGACAAGUUGAAGGGUCAAAAAGGCAAAGGGUGUUUUAGAAGUUUAGCAGACAGCUUUUGGUACAAGGAAAAGAGAGGGAGAGCUGGAGAGAGGGAAACAGGGUGAAGAGGCAGGAAUCUGGCUCGCAUUAAGCUGGGAGGUUCCAACCAUUGAUUCGCUCUGGAAUUAUGGCUUAAAAAAAUUGCAAGACAUGGUUUAUUCAUGAGGGUUCUUUUUUUUUCUUAAGUAGCCACCCAAAGUUACACUUUGGUUCACCAAGACGAAGACUCAUCCUUCCUCUCUCUAUGGAUCUUUCAGAUGAAGAAAUUAAGGCUCAGGAGGGAGGAAAAAAAUAAAAGAAAGAAUUGUCCAAGGUCACCAAGGCAUCUGGACUCCCAUAUGUUGAGCUACUUCUGCUUGUGGGGCAGCUGCAAUACAUGAAUUCUUCACUACGUUCACGAGUGCCCUGAAUUCCAUCCACAGAGCUAUUGGAUGUUUGGAGCCCAGGUGAAGAUCCCAGAGCUGGGGAACGAAAGGUUGGAAAAGCCCAGCCAGCUGUGCAAGCCUCCAGAGACACUCUCUUGACUGCGAGGAAAGUGAUAGCCUGCUGGGCUGGACCUGGACUUUGAGACAGAACUUUCGAAUCCGAAGAAGAGAUGAUUUUCAGAUAGUCCUCCUUCCAGGUCAGGUUUAAGAAAAAUAGUGAAG